rnacentral:rRNA from 1 species
AUAGAUUCAAGGGUUUCUGUUAUAGGCGAACGUGAGGGAAAAAUCAUUUCUAUUGAUAGCCAUAUGAUACUUUUAUCAAGUAGUUGGAAGACUAUAAGUAUUCCCUUAGUUAACCACCGUUGCUCUAACAAAAAUACUUGUAUACACAGAAAACCUCGGGUUCCACCGGGUAAAUUCAUUAAAAAGGACACAUUUUAG